UACAGAGGUCCCAAGCGUUGUUCGGAUUCAUUGGGCGUAAAGGGUGCGUAGGCGGCUCGGUAAGUCGGGUGUGAAAUCUCGGGGCUUAACUCCGAAACUGCAUUCGAUACUGCCGUGCUUGAGGACUGGAGAGGAGACUGGAAUUUACGGUGUAGCGGUGAAAUGCGUAGAUAUCGUAAGGAAGACCAGUGGCGAAGGCGGGUCUCUGGACAGUUCCUGACGCUGAGGCACGAAGGCGAGGGGAGCAAACGGG
rnacentral:rRNA from 1 species